GAUGAACGCUGGCGGCGUGCCUAAUACAUGCAAGUCGAGCGAACAGACGAGGAGCUUGCUCUUUUGACGUUAGCGGCGGACGGGUGAGUAACACGUGGAUAACCUACCUAUAAGACUGGGAUAACUUCGGGAAACCGGAGCUAAUACCGGAUAACAUGUUGAACCGCAUGGUUCAACAGUGAAAGACGGUUUUGCUGUCACUUAUAGAUGGAUCCGCGCCGCAUUAGCUAGUUGGUAAGGUAACGGCUUACCAAGGCAACGAUGCGUAGCCGACCUGAGAGGGUGAUCGGCCACACUGGAACUGAGACACGGUCCAGACUCCUACGGGAGGCAGCAGUAGGGAAUCUUCCGCAAUGGGCGAAAGCCUGACGGAGCAACGCCGCGUGAGUGAAGAAGGUCUUCGGAUCGUAAAACUCUGUUAUUAGGGAAGAACAAAUGUGUAAGUAACUAUGCACGUCUUGACGGUACCUAAUCAGAAAGCCACGGCUAACUACGUG
rnacentral:rRNA from 1 species